rnacentral:lncRNA from 10 species
UCUGUGGUAGGUCACAUAGUGUCCCCCAAAAGUCUACAUCCUGAUCCCCAGUACCUAGGAGCACAGCCUUAUUUGAAAAAAAAAAAAUGGUCUUUGCAGAUGUAAAUAAGUUUAGGAUCUUGAGAUGCUGGGGUGGGCCCUAAAUCCAAUGUUUGAUGUCCUUAUCAGAGAAAGAAAAGGGAUACUUGGGGUGCAGAGAAAUAAGGUAGACAGUCACAUGAACAUGGAGGCCAGUGUUGGAGGGAUGUACCCACAGGUCAAGGCGUGCCUGGGACUCGAGGACACGAGCUGUUCCAGUAUAAUAAAAUAUAUAAAAUAAGAAUAGUUGUACUGAUAUAGAUCUUAGAUAUGAUUAUAUAUGAAUAUCAUUAAUCAUUAGUUUGUAGCAAUUACUCUUUAUUCCAAUAUUAUAAUAAUCCUCACUCUAUAAUCAUAGCCUAGGAAAAACCAGGCCAUACAGAGAUAGGAGCUAAGGGGACAUAGUGAGGAGUAACCAGAAGACAAGAGUGCGAGCCCUCUGUUAUGCCCAGACAGGGCCACCAGAGGGCUCCUUGGUCUAGCGGUAACGCCAGCGUCUGGGAAGAUGCCUGUUGCCAAGUGGACCUUGGUCUAGCGGUAGGCGCAGUGUCAAGGAAAAACACCUGCUACUUAGCAGACCGGGAAAGGGAGUCUCCCUUGCCCCGGUGGAGUUUAAAGAAGACUCUACUCCUCCACCUCUUGUGGAGGGCCUGACAUUAGUCAGGCUCGCCUGCAGUUAUCCGGAGGCCUAACCGUCUCCCUGUGAUGCUGUGCUUCAGCGGUCACACUCCUAGUCCGCCUUCAUGUUCCAUCCUGUACACCUGGCUCUGCCUUCUAGAUAGCAGUAGCAAAUUAGUGAAAGUACUAAAAGUCUCUGAUAUGCAGAAAUAAUGGCGUAGGCUGUCUUUCUCUCUGUCUCCUCUCUCUCUCUGCCUCGGCUGCCAGGCAGGGAAGGGCCCCCUGUCCAGUGGACACAUGACCCACGUGGCCUUACCUAUCAUUGGAGAUGGCUCACUCUCCUUAUCCUGCCCCUUUGUCUUGUAUCCAAUAAAUAUCAGUGCAGCCUGGCAUUCGGGGCCACUACCGGUCUCCGCGACUUGGUGGUAGUGGUCCCCCGGGCCCAGCUGCCUUUUCUUUUAUCUCUGUCUUGUGUCUUUAUUUCUACACUCUCUCGUCUCUGCACACGGGGAGAGACCCACCGUCCCUGUGGGGCUGGACCCUACUUGGGACUGCCAGGGCCAUGAGUGGUGAGGAGAGAGUCCUGGGAUGGAUUCUCCCUCGGAGCCUCCGGAAGCAUCAGCCCUACCGAUACCUUGAUUUUGCACUUCCAGCCUCCAGCACAGUGAGCGAAUCUGUUUGUGCUGUUUUACGCUACUCCUCCAUCUCUGGUGCUGCUCCAGCAUGACCCCCGUGGUAAGAACAGUAACGUGACAACAGCUAUGUGUUCGCGUGCAGGGAUGCGUCCCAGCAUUUAUUCCCAUGCACAGAGUGGGUCGUCCUACUGCCUGCCCACGCACAGAAGUGGUGGCCGCUGCGGCACACCCUCCCUGGCCUCACUCAGGCUGUGCCCCAGGGCGGGGGCGUACCCUCCCUUCUGCUCGGCCUCUGAGCUUCUCCACCCCUUGAUGCUGCCAGGCCAUUUCAAUUUAUUGGAAGUUCUCUAGGGCUGCUCUUAGCCAUUGAGCCAUCCACCUGCCCUCUGAGCCUAAUCUGUGAAUUGGCUUUUUUUUUAUUUUUUAUUUUUUUCAGAGACAGGGUCUCACUCUGUUAACCUGGAGUGCAGUGGUGUAAUCACAGCUCACGGCAGCCUCAAAUUCCUGGGCUCAAGGGAUCCUCCCACCUCAGCCUCCUGAAUAACUGGGACUAUAGGCACAUGCCACUGCACCCAGCUAUUUUUUAAAACUUUUUGUAGAGCCAGUCUUGCUAUAUUGCCCAAGCUCAUCUUGAACUGCUGGGCUCCAGGGAUCCUCCUGCGUCAGCCUCCUGAGUAGCUGGGAGUGCAGGCGUGAGCCGCUGUGCCUGGCCCCCUGUGCGAUGCCUUGUGAUGCCAACUGCAGGUUCGCUGCUCACUGCCUCCUCCUCUUCCACCUUGCAGAUCUACUGGGGCUCCAUGGUUGUCACCUCAGAGUCUUCCCAAGCCUCUCCCUCCUGUGAGGCAUGCAGAUUUACAGGAGCAUUGUGACCUGAAAAGGAAGAGGAAGUUCCCAACCUCCUUGGAGCCUCAUUGGCACCCAGCUGUCAUCCAUCACCCCUUGAUCGCAAGCCCUCCUCUUUCCCCUGCCCUGAACUUGUAAAGGGCCUGAACCUCAUACUGGCAUGAGAUGGUUCCUGAGGAUGCUCAUUCGCAUCUGCUGGGCUUGCUGCUCUCCAAAAUGAAGUUGCCUUCUCGGCUUCAACUCCUUGUCUGGACUGAUUGGCUGUCAUGCAGCAGCAGCACAAGUUUGGACUUGUUAACCUUUGGACAUUUUUAGUUACUUAUGAAACUUGCUGGCGGGGCGCGG